rnacentral:lncRNA from 1 species
AACAAUGCUCAUCAAAGCAUUGCUUAAAUUGCAUAGACAUACUAUUGUGGAACUCAAUAAUUAAACGAUUCUCAAUGAAGUUUUGCUAAAUUGCAUAAACUUCUAAUGUGGAACUUAAGAAUGAAACAAUGCUCGUCAGAGCUUUGCUAAAUUACAUAGACUUCUAAUGUGGAACUCAAGAAUGAAACAAUGUUUAUCAAAGCUUUGCUUAAAUUGCAAAGACUACUUCUAUUGUUGAACUCAAGAAUUAAACAAUGCUCAUCAAUGCUUUGCUAAAUUGCAUAGACUUCCAAUGUCGCAACCAAGAAUGAAACAAUUCUCCUCUAAGCUUUGCUAAAUUGCAUAGACUUCUCUUGUGGAACUCAAGAAUGAAACAAUGCUCAUCAAAGCUUUGCUUAAAUUGAAUACUUCUAUUGUGGAACUCAAGAAUUAAACAAUGCUCAUCAAGGCUUUCCUGAAUUGCGAAGACUACUUCAAUUAUGGAACUCAAGAAUGAAACAAUGCUCAUCAAAGCUUUGCUUAAAUUCCAUAAAGGCAACUUCUAUUCUGGAACUCAAGAAUUAAACAAUGUUCAUCAAAGCUUUGCUAAACUGCGAAGACUACUUCUGUUGUGGAACUCUAGAAUUAAACAAUGCUCAUCAAAGCUUUUGUAAAUUGAGAAGACUACUUCUAUUGUGGAACUCUAGAAUUAAACAAUGUUCAUCGAAGCUUUGCUAAAUUGCAUACAUUUCUAAUGUGGAACUCUAGAAUGAAACAAUGCUCAUCAAAGGUUUUCUUAAAUUGCAUAGACUUUUAUUGUGGAACUCAAGAAUUAAACAAUGCUCUUCAAAGCUUUGCUAAAUUGUGAAGACUACUUCUAUUAUGGAACUCAAGAGUGAAACUAUGCUCAUCAAAACUUUGCUUAAAUUGCAUAGACUUCAAUUGUGGAACUCAAGAAUUUUAACAAUGCUCAUCAAAGCUUUGCUAAAUUGCGAAGACUACUUCUAUUGUGGAACUCAAGAAUCAAACAAUGCUCAUCAAAGCAUUGCUUAAAUUGCAUAGACAUACUAUUGUGGAACUCAAUAAUUAAACGAUGCUCAAUGAAGCUUUGCUAAGUUGCAUAAACUUCUAAUGUGGAACUUAAGAAUGAAAUAAUGCUCGUCAGAGCUUUGCUAAAUUACAUAGACUUCUAAUGUGGAACUCAAGAAUGAAACAAUGCUCAUCAAAGCUUUGCUUAAAUUGCAAAGACUACUUCUAUUGUUGAACUCAAGAAUUAAACAAUGCUCAUCAAUGCUUUGCUAAAUUGCAUAGACUUCCAAUGUGGCAACCAAGAAUGAAACAAUGCUCCUCUAAGCUUUGCUAAAUUGCGCAGACUUCUCUUGUGGAACUCAAGAAUGAAACAAUGCUCAUCAAAGCUUUGCUUAAAUUGAAUACUUCUAUUUUGGAACUUAAGAAUUAAACAAUGCUCAUCAAAGCUUUGCUGAAUUGCGAAGACUACUUCAAUUAUGGAACUCAAGAAUGAAACAAUGCUCAUCAAAGCUUUGCUUAAAUUCCAUAAAGGCAACUUCUAUUCUGGAACUCAAGAAUUAAACAAUGUUCAUCAAAGCUUUGCUAAAUUGCAAAGACUACUUCUGUUGUGGAACUCUAGAAUUAAACAAUGUUCAUCAAAGCUUUGCUAAAUUGCAUACAUUUCUAAUGGGGAACUCUAGAAUGAAACAAUGCUCAUCAAAGGUUUUCUUAAAUUGCAUAGACUUUUAUUGUGGAAAUCAAGAAUUAAACAAUGCUUAUCAAAGCUUUGCUAAAUUGUGAAGAAUACAUAUAUUGUGGAACUCAAGAAUUAAACAAUGCUCAUCAAAACCUUGCUAAAUUGCAUAGUCUAUUGUGGAACUGAAGAAGUGAACAAUGCUCAUCAAAGCUUUACUAAACUGAAAACACUACAUCUAUUGUGGAAAUCAAGAAUUAAACU